rnacentral:rRNA from 1 species
GACCCUGGCUCAGAUUGAACGCUGGCGGCAUGCUUUACACAUGCAAGUCGAACGGCAGCGAGGAGAAGCUUGCUUCUCUGUCGGCGAGUGGCGAACGGGUGAGUAUAGCAUCGGAACGUGCCAAGUAGUGGGGGAUAACCAAACGAAAGUUUGGCUAAUACCGCGUAAGCUCUAAGGAGGAAAGUAGGGGACCUAAUAAGGCCUUACGCUAUUUGAUCGGCCGAUGUCGGAUUAGCUAGUUGGUGGGGUAA